rnacentral:rRNA from 1 species
GGGUGCAGCAGGCGCGAAACCUCCGCAAUGCGGGCAACCGCGACGGGGGGACCCCGAGUGCCGUCGGGGCAAAGCUCCGGCGGCUGUACCGGGGUGUAAAAAGCCCCGGGUAGAAAGCGGCGGGCAAGACCGCUGCCAGCCGCCGCGGUAAUAGCGGCGCCGCAAGUGGUGGCCGCUUUUAUUGGGCCUAAAGGGGCCGUAGCCGGUCCCGUGGGUCCCCGCCGAAAGCCCGCGGCUUAACCGCGGGAGUCGGCGGGGAAACUGCGGGACUUGGGACCGGGAGAGGCCGGAGGUACCCCCGGAGUAGGGGUGAAAUCCUGUCAUCCCGGGGGGACCGCCAGUGGCGAAGGCGUCCGGCUGGAACGGGUCCGACGGUGAGGGCCGAAAGCCGGGGGAGCAAACCGGAUUAGAUACCCGGGUAGUCCCGGCUGUAAACGAUGCGGACUAGGUGUUGGGGCGGCCACGAGCCGCCCCAGUGCCGUAGGGAAGCCGUUAAGUCCGCCGCCUGGGGAGUACGGCCGCAAGGCUGAAACUUAAAGGAAUUGGCGGGGGAGCACCACAACCGGUGGAGCCUGCGGUUUAAUUGGAUUCAACGCCGGAAACCUUACCGGGGGCGACAGCAGGAUGAAGGCCAGGUUGACGACCUUGCCGGACGAGCUGAGAGGAGGUGCAUGGCCGCCGUCAGCUCGUGCCGUGAGGUGUCCUGUUAAGUCAGGUAACGAGCGAGACCCCCACCCGCAGUUGCCAGCGGGCCCCGUAAGGGGCGCCGGGCACUCUGCGGGGAUCGCCGCCGAUAAGGCGGAUGAAAGUGGGGGCGACGGCAGGUCCGUAUGCCCCGAAACCCCCGGGCUACACGCGGGCUACAAUGGCGGGGACAAUGGGAUCCGACCCCGAAAGGGGAAGGAAAUCCCAUAAACCCCGUCGUAGUUCGGAUUGCGGGCUGCAACUCGCCCGCAUGAAGGUGGAAUCGGUAGUAACCGUGCCUCAGAAUGGCACGGUGAAUACGUCCCUGCUCCUUGCACUCACCGCCCGUC